rnacentral:rRNA from 1 species
UACGAAGGGGGCUAGCGUUGCUCGGAAUCACUGGGCGUAAAGGGUGCGUAGGCGGGGCUUUAAGUCAGGGGGGAAAUCCUGGAGCUCAACUCCAGAACUGCCUUUGAUACUGAAGAUCUUGAAUUCGGGAGAGGUGAGUGGAACUGCGAGUGUAGAGGUGAAAUUCGUAGAUAUUCGCAAGAACACCAGUGGCGAAGGCGGCUCACUGGCCCGAUACUGACGCUGAGGCGCGAAAGCGUGGGGAGCGAACAGG